CAAUCAUUUCUUAAAAUGUUUCAAGCAGCGACUCACCUUACAAAGAAAAUUGGGAACGUAGCAAUCAUGCAAUCAUCGGUGCUAAAUCAGAGUGGUGACGAAGCGGUGGAAUGUCCGCUUUGCAUGGAACCUCUGGAGGUAGAUGAUCUCAAUUUCUUCCCCUGCACAUGCGGAUAUCAGAUAUGUAGGUUCUGUUGGCAUAGAAUUCGUACUGAUGAAAAUGGAUUGUGCCCUGCAUGUCGCAAGGCCUAUCCAGAAAAUCCUGCGGAUUUUAAGCCUCUUAGCCAAGAAGAGGUUUCGCGUCUUAAGCAGGAGAAGCGACAUAAAGAUCAUCAACGAAAGCAGAAAGUGACUGAAAACCGAAAGCACUUAGCUAAUGUAAGAGUGGUCCAAAAGAAUUUGGUGUUUGUUGUAGGUUUACCAACACGAUUAGCAGAUCCCGAGGUUCUGAAAAAGCAUGAAUAUUUUGGAAAGUUUGGAAAGAUACACAAAGUUGUUAUCAAUCAAAGUACUACAUAUGCAGGUUCACAGGGUCCAAGUGCCAGUGCUUAUGUAACUUAUUUCAAAUCCGAUGAUGCAUUACGUGCUAUUCAAGCUGUUCAGAAUGUUCCUGUUGAUGGACGCACCAUCAAAACAUCAUUAGGAACAACAAAAUAUUGUUCACAUUUCAUGAAGAAUCAAGUAUGUCCGAAGCCAGACUGCAUGUAUCUUCAUGACCAUGGUGAUCCCGAUGCCAGCUUUACCAAGGAAGAAAUGCAACAAGGAAAGCACCAGGAAUUUGAAAAGAAAUUACACGAAACACUGAUAAAUUCCUACAACAAAGAUAGAAAACCUACGCCAUCACCCCCAACAGCUGUAGGUUCUGCCAGUCAACCUAGUAUACAACCGAGUAAAGAUGCCUGGCCUUCAUUACAACCAGGCACAACAAUUAAUUCAGUUGGUCCUAGUAUUCUUUCAUCAACAUCAAAUGGCACUAACAGCAGCAGUAAUAGUAGCUCCAGCAGUAAUAGCAAUGGAAAUAGCAAUAAUAACAAAGGCGAGGGCAGCAAUCAAAAGAAACAACAGACUAGUUCUAAAAACAAGAAGAAAAAUAAUAUCAAUUCAGGCAUAGAAGAAGGCAAAGGAAAAUCAAAAGACAAAAAUUCAGCUCAGACUACAGAUAAAGAGGAUGCUCAUCGAAAACAAAAUUCCCAUCAAAUACAGUCAAGCAGUACUAAAGCUCCCCGAUCAGAUAGGGCUAAUAAAAGUGAUAAACACAGAAAUAUGGAUCCUGAACAGGAUCACAGAAAUGAAAGAUCAAAUGUUACUGAUAAUAUAGAUGAGGCUGAUUUAACUGAGUCUCAACACUUUGAAAAUGUCAGUCAAUUUGGUGAUGUGGAAGAAAGAAUAGACACAAUAGAUGUGACGGUAAAGUCUGACAGAGUAGAAAAGACUGAAAGACCUAGCCAAAGUCAGAGGAACCAUCUGACAGAAAAUCAUUUUGGUGAACUGGAAAACACCCUGUACUCAUCUUCGACUCCAGUUUCCACUUCAUCAGAAGAAUCUUCUCCUGGUGGUCGUAGCUCCCCUGCUCGCCUUUCUGCCUCGCAUAGAGCAGCGUCUCUUUUGGAACCUGACAACAAUUCCUUCUUUUCUGCAGGCUUUACAAAAGUCAAUCCGUCUACUCCUAAUGCUGUUUCUAAUAGUGAAUGGGCUCCAAAUGGUGUGUCCCUUCCGCAUAUGCCUGAUGUUUUGCCACCAGUUCAUUCGUCUGAGGACUGGCAGGCAGCAUUUGGGUUUGGAUCCAAUAGCUCAGUACCAGAAACCAAACAAACAUCUGCUGCAGCUAUGCUGGCUAAAUAUCACGCCUGGCUUGAACUUGCUGGUCAACAGAAACUCGAAAAUUCCGGUGUUAAUUUAGUGAAUUCAAAUUCAGUGCCUGGUUCUAAUGAGCAGACCUUCGCUCACCAGUCCAGUACUUUUGGCCCAGUGCGAGUGCCAGAAAGUUCCAGUUUGUUGAUGCACAAUGCUUUCCAGCAGCAGCAGCAUCACCACCACCAACAACAGCAACAACAGCAGCAGCAGCAGCAGCAACAACAACAGCAUCAACAACAGCAACAUCAAUCCUUUUUGCUUCAUCUACAGCAACAGCAAGCCCUGCGUCUGCAACAGGGUAGCCUGACCUCUGCAGGUCCGGAGGUUGGCUUUCCAUCUGCUGAUGUUAAUCGUGAAAACAUCAGCAAUGGUCCAUCAGAAAGGGAGGCUUUCCUUCGCUUUGAUCAACAUAGUUCUGCAAACUCAUUAUUAAAUAAUAGCCAUGAGGACUACUUUAACAACAGUGAUCAUAGUGAAAGAAGACACACAGACGAUGAUCUUGGGUUUGAUCCAUUCCAUGAGACACAGAAGGGUCUUGCAGAGAUGAUGGAAAAGGAACAGUUACUUAAACAGCAACAGCAGCAACAGAAUCAUAAUUAUCUUCAACAUCAACACCACCAUCAGCUCAUGCAGCAAGCCCAGCUUGCAGCUCUUAAUCAGCAACACAACUACCAACAACACAAUCCCUUAUACCAUAGACUGGCACCUCAGCAACAGGUGCCUAGCUGCACAAAACUAUUGGAAGGACUUGGUCUAGGUAUGAAUAGUUCAAUGGCAACCCGCAGCCGACCUCCCCCACCAGGUUUUGCCCCUGCACCUAACCACAUGAAUGCCUUUGGAAUGGGUUUACCUCGUACUGCACCGACUAGCAGCAACCCUAGCAGCAACUUAGGAAGUAAAGUUUUACCGUUUAUGGGUCUGGGCAGUGUUGGCAGCUCUGCAAAUAACAGCAGUGCCAGUAGCAGCAAUGGAAGUCAAAAUUCACAGGGUAUGCCAACAAAUCAUAUGCCGUUCAUGAAUGGCUCCAUACUGAAUCAAGGUAUGUCUAAAACUACACUGGAUUCUAUGUUUGCCAGUGCUAAAGAAUGGCCAGAGAACUGUAGAUCUCUUUUACCAAAUCUUGGUACUAGUGUUCCCCAAGCCCCAUCACAUAGUUAUGCUGCUCAGAAAACUGCUGCUUCUAGUUGGAACUGCCCUGACUGGACAGCGUUAGAUCCAGCCAUUGUUUCAUCAUCCAGACCACACUGGCCUGCUAGUUCACCAAUGAGUACGCCCACUCCACCACCAGGAUUCGGCUUUGGACAGCAACACCCACACACAUUAAACACAACGAAUAUGGACAAUGCAUAGCAGUGAAAUAUUUCUGCCGCAGAGGAUGGUCAUUGCAAGACACUAGACUUAAACCAGUCUGUCAUCGCUAUAAUUUCAAAUGGUGCUGGUUCUACUUAUUUGUUUUUGUCUUGUGUGGUCCAUAGUCCAUGUACCAAUCAAAUUUAAAAUGUCAACUGUUAUGAAAUGCAAAUGAACAGUAUUGGGUGAAUGUUCAAAGCUGAAGUCUUUUGACUGAAAAGAUAUGCCAGGCCACUAUGGGGAGCUGGCCCAGCACUGAGAUUACCAACAAAUUACUGAAUUCAAAUGUGAGUUACUAUGUCUAAUGGGUUGGAUUUUGUGCUUCAAAAAUGUGAUCCAGCUUCCUACAUUAUUACUCGUAUAAUGGGAGCAAAGCAUACAAUAUAUAUUAUUUUUUGCUCUUACAAAUUAUGGCAGAAUAAAGAGUGGAAAAUACGAUUAUUAUUAUUA
rnacentral:misc_RNA from 1 species